GGACUACUAGGGUUUCUAAUCCCUUUCGCUCCCCUAGCUUUCGUCCCUCAGCGUCAGUUGUGGCCCAGUAGAGCGCCUUCGCCACUGGUGUUCUUCCCGAUAUCUACGCAUUUCACCGCUACACCGGGAAUUCCCUCUACCCCUACCACACUCAAGUCUUUCAGUUUCCAUUGCCGAUUCAGGGUUGAGCCCUGAGCUUUAACAACAGACUUAAUUAACCGCCUGCGGACGCUUUACGCCCAAUAAUUCCGGAUAACGCUUGCCUCCUCCGUCUUACCGCGGCGGCUGGCAC
rnacentral:misc_RNA from 1 species